GGGGGGAGGAUGAAGUCCUCGUCCCCUAAUGAUGGGUGUCCGACCUAACGUCGGUAUCUCAAUCUUUCAUUGGUGUUGCUGCCGUUGCACCCGCUCUGUCGGAUGGGUUGUUAGCCAGCAUACUGGAGAGGACUUCUUCCCCCGGAGCUGUCAUGGCAGCCUUAAUCCUCGCCUGAAAAUCGGUCGGGGAUAUUGAGGUAAGUCCGACAUGUUGGUUCACACCCUUUCGGUCCGUGGGAGACAGGAUCGUACAACAGUACACUUAUUGCCACUCAGUGGGCCUCCGCGUAUAACUGGGGUCACCCAGAAUUUUGAUCAAUCAGUAUCAUUUUUGCAGGAUCCGGGGAGUGGUCUGAGAAUGAGGACACCCUCAGUAAGACCGGGAUGAGCGGUCUGCAAUGUCGGG